rnacentral:rRNA from 1 species
GAGAUGUUGGGUUAGUCCCGCAACGAGCGCAACCCUUGUUCACUGUUGCCAGCACGUUAUGGUGGGGACUCAGUGGAGACCGCCGGGGUCAACUCGGAGGAAGGUGGGGAUGACGUCAAGUCAUCAUGCCCCUUAUGUCCAGGGCUUCACGCAUGCUACAAUGGCCGGUACAAAGGGCUGCUAAGCCGCGAGGUGGAGCGAAUCCCAAAAAGCCGGUCUCAGUUCGGAUUGGGGUCUGCAACUCGACCCCAUGAAGUCGGAGUCGCUAGUAAUCGCAGAUCAGCAACGCUGCGGUGAAUACGUUCCCGGG